ACGCGUCCGGGGCUGGGGGCGGGGCCGAGGGCGGGGCUCUCCCCACGUGGCCGGGGGCUGAGGGCGGGGCUGACAGCGGGGCGGGGCUGACAGCGGGUCCUCCCACGCGUCCGGGGUGAGGGCGGGGCUCACCCCAAGCGGCGGGGCUGAGGGCGGGGCUGACAGCAGGUCCUCCCACGCGUCCGGGGUGAGGGCGGGGCUCACCCCAAGCGCCCGG